GACGAACGCUGGCGGCGUGCCUAAUACAUGCAAGUAGAACGCUGAAGGAGGAGCUUGCUCUUCUGGAUGAGUUGCGAACGGGUGAGUAACGCGUAGGUAACCUGCCUGGUAGCGGGGGAUAACUAUUGGAAACGAUAGCUAAUACCGCAUAAGAGUAGAUGUUGCAUGACAUUUGCUUAAAAGGUGCAAUUGCAUCACUACCAGAUGGACCUGCGUUGUAUUAGCUAGUUGGUGGGGUAACGGCUCACCAAGGCGACGAUACAUAGCCGACCUGAGAGGGUGAUCGGCCACACUGGGACUGAGACACGGCCCAGACUCCUACGGGAGGCAGCAGUAGGGAAUCUUCGGCAAUGGACGGAAGUCUGACCGAGCAACGCCGCGUGAGUGAAGAAGGGUUUCGGAUCGUAAAGCUCUGUUGUAAGAGAAGAACGAGUGUGAGAGUGGAAAGUUCACACUGUGACGGUAUCUUACCAGAAAGGGACGGCUAACUACGUG
rnacentral:rRNA from 1 species